rnacentral:rRNA from 1 species
UACGGAGGGUGCAAACGUUGCUCGGAAUCAUUGGGCGUAAAGCGCACGUAGGCGGCCUGACAAGUCGGGUGUGAAAGCCCCUCGGCUUAACCGAGGAAGUGCAUUCGAAACUAUCAGGCUUGAAUACUGAAGAGGGUCUCGGAAUUCCCGGUGUAGAGGUGAAAUUCGUAGAUAUCGGGAGGAACACCAAUGGCGGAGGCAGCUCGCUGGAACGGUACUGACGCUGAGGCGCGAAAGCGUGGGGGAGCAAACAGG